rnacentral:lncRNA from 10 species
CGUAAAGACAACUCAUUAAACAAAAAAGAAGACUGAUGACAUAUUUCCAUCUUAAACUAGUACUAAACCACAUAAUCACUUAAUUUCUAAUUGCCUUCCUGACUCAUUAUAAACUUUCCAGACUCUCCCUCCCUUGCAAUUACAACAGGAUGCUUUUUGCUUUGCUCCUGACAGUAUGCAUACUCAAAGGCAUUGUUUUCUGUGUUUAGCCCUCCAUUCUAGUAUUCAAGACCUUUUGCAACUCAGAAUGAGUGCAUCUGAAAUUCUCAGAAUUGGGAAAAACAUAGCAGAUUUGAAUUGGCAUAUAAUAGGAUUUGCCAUAAGGAACUAUCUUAGGGAGGAAUUUCUGCAUAGUUGACCCUUGAACAACAUGGAUUUUAACUGCAUGGAUGCACUUAUACAUGGAUUUUCUUCCACCUCUGCUAACCCUGAGACAGCGGAACCAACCCCUCCUCUUCUUCCUCCCCCUCAGCCUAUUCAACGUGAAAAAGAUGAGGAUGAAGACCUUUAUUAUGAUCCACUUCCAAGUAAUGAACACACUGGAGAAAGUCAGACAGUCAAAACAAUGUCCCAGACUCCGUGAAGUUCCUGGGUAGAGAAGGAGACAGACAUAUACCAUACCUAAUAAUUGGAUGUCCGAGAGAAUGAGAGAAUGGCAGAAAGAACUUUAGAGCAUGGGUAUGAUGGCUAGAGCUUGAGCAGCCAUUGUGGACAUCAGAUGAACUUGAAAGUGAAAACUAUGAGCUGAAUACGACAAAGCAAACAGAUAGAAAACUGGAUUCAUUAUGACAUUGCAAAGCUGCCAGACCAGCUCUAGUCUGCUUCCCCCUAAUCUUCCUUACUAAGAGAGAGAAAUAAACUUCCAUCUUCUUCAAGCCACUGGUACAUGCAGCUGAGUCUAAUCCUCAGUCAGAUAACCUUUCCGAGUAUUUUCCUACCAUAUGAUUAGAACAUAAUAUGGUAAGUGAUAUACUAGAAGCACAAGCA